rnacentral:rRNA from 1 species
AUUGAACGCUGGCGGCAUGCCUUACACAUGCAAGUCGAACGGCAGCACGGAAGCUUGCUCCUGGUGGCGAGUGGCGAACGGGUGAGUAAUACAUCGGAACGUACCCUGAAGUGGGGGAUAACGUAGCGAAAGUUACGCUAAUACCGCAUAUUCUGUGAGCAGGAAAGAGGGGGAUUGCAAGACCUCUUGCUUUAGGAGCGGCCGAUGUCGGAUUAGCUAGUUGGUGAGGUAAAGGCUCACCAAGGCGACGAUCCGUAGCGGGUCUGAGAGGAUGAUCCGCCACACUGGGACUGAGACACGGCCCAGACUCCUACGGGAGGCAGCAGUGGGGAAUUUUGGACAAUGGGCGCAAGCCUGACGCAGCAACGCCGCGUGGGUGAUGAAGGCCUUCGGGUCGUAAAGCCCUGUCAGGAGGGAAGAUAAAAGACGGUACCUCCGAAGGAAGCACCGGGCUAACUCCGUGCCAGCAGCCGCGGUAAU